rnacentral:rRNA from 1 species
GACGGAGGGGGCAAGCGUUGUUCGGAAUUAUUGGGCGUAAAGGGCUCGUAGGCGGAUCUGUAAGUCUGACGUGAAAUCUCCACUGCUCAACAGGGAGAGGUCGCUGGAUACUGCAGAUCUGGAGUUCGGCAGAGGACCAUGGAGUUCCAGGUGUAGCGGUGGAAUGCGUAGAUAUCUGGAGGAACACCGGUGGCGAAGGCGGGUCUCUGGGCCGUAACUGACGCUGAGGAGCGAAAGCGUGGGGAGCGAACAGG